UUCUCUGCCUUGGAUCAUUAUUUUUUUCAGCCAUCUCUGAAACCCAAUGAGAUAAGCUGCCCAGAAUUUGAACACUGUUGUUAGACUGUCUUAUGAUUUGAUGAUGUCAUAUUUUCGGUAUUAUCCAGUCCUUCUUGAGAAUUUUUGGAACAGUGCUGCAACAUUCUUCCAGGGCCUUCUGAUUUUAUAAUGGGCAUUAUAUUUUCAGUAAUAUCCCAUUCCUUGUCUCACCUAUCAGUUUUGCUGCACAUCCUGACAAACAGCCUAUAUACAUAUACAUUCACCAAUAUAUGCAUAUUUUCAGGUCAAUCUAUUGACCUAUGGCCUUACUAUGGACUAUAUGGCCUUGCCAAGAUACGAAAAAUUACCAAUUUUAUUCUUAGCUGUUUGCUUGCAGAAAAGUAUGAGCUGUAUCAAGAAUGUAGCGAUUAGUUCUGAACCCUCUGUAAUUAUUUGAAUGAAACAGUAAUGUAACUGUUUACUUCGCUGGCUAGGUAGAAGGAAAGACCUUAAGGCAGGACCCUCGCUCCUGGGGCAGAGGGUUGCGGGGGAACAGCUGUGGCUUGGAAACCAGGAGCAUCAGAGAAGCUGGAUCCAUGGAGAAAUCCCCAGGGAACUGUGUCUAGGGCAGGCAUCAUCAGAAGCUGGGGGACUGCAUAUGGAAUAGGGUGUGGCUGGAGGAGAUUGCAAGUGGGAGUUGGCCUGUGCAUGUGGAAACAGCAGCGACUGAGCAGGAAAUCCUGGCAGACAGGCUCCAGUGAGAGAAACCGCUCAUUGCAAACCUGUAAACUCCUGUUUGCUUGGAAUAUUCUCCUGUGCAAGUCAUCGACCCUUCACACUGCAACAUCUGCUAUGGCAAAAAGAAACAUUCCUUCAGUGACAACACACCGCGAUGACGUCCCAAGAUGGAAGGAGCCUGCUACCAGUUGAACAAUACCACCUGUUAAUAAACUUUGAAAUUUCAUUUUGCA